rnacentral:rRNA from 1 species
AUUGAACGCUGGCGGCAGGCUUAACACAUGCAAGUCGAGCGGUAACAGAGAGAAGCUUGCUUCUCUGCUGACGAGCGGCGGACGGGUGAGUAAUGCCUAGGAAUCUGCCUAGUAGUGGGGGAUAACUUGCCGAAAGGUAAGCUAAUACCGCAUACGUCCUACGGGAGAAAGGAGGGGACCUUCGGGCCUUUCGCUAUUAGAUGAGCCUAGGUCGGAUUAGUUAGUUGGUGAGGUAAUGGCUCACCAAGACCGCGAUCCGUAACUGGUCUGAGAGGGUGAUCAGUCACACUGGAACUGAGACGCGGUCCAGGCUCCUACGGGAGGCAGCAGUGGGGAAUAUUGGACAAUGGGGGGAACCCUGAUCCAGCCAUGCCGCGUGUGUGAAGGAGGUCUUAGGAUUGUAAAGCACUUUAAGUUGGGAGGAAGAGCAGUUAACUAAUAUUUGACUGUUUUGACGUUACCGACAGAAUAAGCACCGGCUAACUUCGUGCCAGCCGCCGCCGUAA